GACGAACGCUGGCGGCGUGCUUAACACAUGCAAGUCGAACGGAAAGGCCCUGCUUUUGUGGGGUGCUCGAGUGGCGAACAGGUGAGUAACACGUGAGUAACCUGCCCUUGACUUUGGGAUAACUUCAGGAAACUGGGGCUAAUACCGGAUAGGAGCUCCUGCUGCAUGGUGGGGGUUGGAAAGUUUCGGCGGUUGGGGAUGGACUCGCGGCUUAUCAGCUUGUUGGUGGGGUAGUGGCUUACCAAGGCUUUGACGGGUAGCCGGCCUGAGAGGGUGACCGGCCACAUUGGGACUGAGGUACGGCCCAGACUCCUACGGGAGGCAGCAGUGGGGAAUAUUGCACAAUGGGCGGAAGCCUGAUGCAGCAGCGCCGCGUGCGGGAUGACGGCCUUCGGGUUGUAAACCGCUUUCGCCUGUGACGAAGCGUGAGUGACGGUAAUGGGUAAAGAAGCACCGGCUAACUACGUG
rnacentral:rRNA from 1 species